UAACCUGCCCAAGAGAUCGGGAUAACACCUGGAAACAGAUGCUAAUACCGGAUAACAACAGAUGAUGCCUAUCAACUGUUUAAAAGAUGGUUCUGCUAUCACUCUCGGAUGGACCUGCGGUGCAUUAGCUAGUUGGUAGGGUAACGGCCUACCAAGGCGAUGAUGCAUAGCCGAGUUGAGAGACUGAUCGGCCACAUUGGGACUGAGACACGGCCCAAACUCCUACGGGAGGCAGCAGUA
rnacentral:rRNA from 1 species